rnacentral:lncRNA from 1 species
AUGCCAGCCCAGGCCACCGACCCAGCCAAGGUUCCUUCGGCAAUGCCAAGGAGGAAAUCUGUGCGGGUUUUGAGGGAUCGAUGGGCGCAGCAGGACAUGCGAGGGGAGCAGCUGAGCAUCUUCUGGAGGAACGUGGUCCCCAUGAGUCUGCUGCACUUAAGGACUGUAUAUUCUCCUGUGCUCGUCUCUAGGCCACGCUGCUCACUCUGCUGUGGGCCUACUUCUGCUUCCUCCUGACUGCCCUGUGUGUAACGGCUGGUGGCCACCAUCUGUGGAGUCACAGGUCCUACAAGGCCAAGCUGCCUCUCAGGAUAUUUCUGACUGCUGCCAACUCCAUGGCUUUCCAUAAAAAAGACAUCUUGGGAGUGGGCCAAGGGCCAUCAAGCCCACCACAAGCACUCAGAGACAUUCGCAGACCCCCAUAACACCCGUCGAGGUGUCUUCUUCUCCCACGUUGGGUAGCUGCUGGUCCUCAGGCAUCCAGAUGUCAUUGAGAAGGGCAAGAAGCUGAUGUUGCUGAUCUGCUUGCUGGGGAGAGUCUAUGGAAUUCCUUCUUUGUCACUUCCAUUCUCUGAUACAUUGUUGCCCUCAAUGGCAUCUGGCUGGUCAACAGCACUGCCCACGUAUGGGAAAGCAGACCUAUGACAAGCAAAUCAGCCCUCAGAAGAACCCACUCGUCGCUCUGGGAGCCAUUGGUGAGGGCUUCCGCAAUUACCACCACACAUUUCCUUUUGACUUCUCUGCGAACAAAUUUGGCUUAAAUUUCAACCCAGCCAACUGGUUCAUUGAUGUCACGUGCUUCCUGGGACUGGCCACUGACCACAAACGGGUGACCAAGCAGAUGACUGAGGCCUGCACGGCCAUGACUGGUGAUGGCAGUGGCUGA